rnacentral:rRNA from 1 species
UACGGGGGGGGCAAGCGUUGUUCGGAAUUACUGGGCGUAAAGGGCUCGUAGGCGGCCAACUAAGUCAGACGUGAAAUCCCCAGGCUCAACCUGGGAACUGCGUUUGAAACUACGGAGCUAGAGUGCGGCAGAGGGGGGUGGAAUUCCACGUGUAGCAGUGAAAUGCGUAGAUAUGUGGAGGAACACCGAUGGCGAAGGCAGCCCCCUGGGCCGACACUGACGCUCAGGCACGAAAGCGUGGGGAGCAAACAGG